CCUACGGGCGGCUGCAGUGAGGAAUAUUGGUCAAUGGGCGCAAGCCUGAACCAGCCAAGUAGCGUGAAGGAUGACUGCCCUACGGGUUGUAAACUUCUUUUAUGAAGGAAUAAAGUGAGGCACGUGUGCCUUUUUGUAUGUACUUUAUGAAUAAGGAUCGGCUAAAUCCGUGCCAGCAGCCGCGGUAAUACGGAGGUGCCGGGCGUUAUCCGGAUUUAUUGGGUUUAAAGGGAGCGUAGAUGGGAUGUUAAGUCGGUUGUGAAAGGUUGCGGCUCAACCGUAAAAUUGCAAUGGAUACUGGCAGUCUGGAGUACAGUGGAGGUAGGCGGAAUUCGUGGUGUAGCGGUGAAAUGCUUAGAUAUCACGAAGAACUCCGAUUGCGAAGGCAGCUUACUAAACUGCCACUGACAUUGAUGCUCGAAAGUGUGGGUAUCAAACAGGAUUAGAUACCCCAGUAGUC
rnacentral:rRNA from 1 species